CAGGAAUUACCUGUGAAUGGGGACGAAGUCUAUGAAUUUUUUUUUUUAAUCAACAAUGUUUAAAAGAGAAACGGAAAUACCGUAAUGUUUCCGAUUUCGGUUCUGUUGUUAGGGAUUUUAGUUGAGAUGUUAUUUAAGUUAUGACGUCAUAUUCAAUGUAAACAAAGAAACGCUGUCAUCAGGUAACGUUUUUUUAAUAACAAACAUUUUUUUUUAAAUGAAUUAGCAUUAGUUUCUUUCUUAGACUGAUAAAUAUAUAUUUUAUUCAAAGUUUCAUGUAAACAAGACCGGAAACGGAAGUAGAUUUCUGCGCCGAUCCGGAAAUUCAAAAACGCGACAAAAAAAAAUUGAACGAUUUUGAGUUCAUUAGUACAAUGAAAAAUUCGGGAAAUUUUCCCGAUUUUUUUUUUUUUUUU
rnacentral:lncRNA from 1 species